rnacentral:misc_RNA from 1 species
GGAAUACAAAACAUCCAAGUAGAUUCUAGAUGACAUGCGAGGUAUAAAUGGAUCCUUUUCUUUGUUUUAUUUUUUAAAAUGAUAAUAAUAAGGAAUGGGGAGAUACAGGGGAUUGAAUUUCUGCCAUCUUACACAAUGAGACUGGCCUAAUGACAAGUAAAAAAAUUGUAUCUUAUAUUAUUGUUAUUUUUUUAUGGCUUCUGGUGUAGAAUGUAGGUAAAGGCUUCAUGUAGGCUGAUUGCUAGCUGUAUUUUUAACUUAAAGAGGUGAGCACUGAGCAGGCUCUUGGAGUGGUGAUGCUAAAUUUAGUAGUUGAUGUACCGAAUACUAUGGUAUAUAAGAAUUUCUUUUUCCCGUUAUUCUUGCGGGCGAUGCUUGGAUAUAGUUUGUCAUUAUUUGUUAAAACUGUGUUAGCCAGCAUUGGUUGUGCAACCUACUAUGCGUUUUAUGGCAGCUGGCACAAUGGCACAUGUACUUCGUAAAACGCACGAGAAAAAUGGAGGACUGCUUGUGAAAAAGGUUUCACAUGCUGGCAUGAUGAAAUCGUGACGUUGAAUUAAAGAUCUUUCCGGCGAGAGGCUGUAUGGUUUUGUUGGACUGUUCUACCUGGCCAAUUACGGAUGAGCGGGAGUAGAGCAGGAACGAGUGUUGUGAUUUUUAAUCGGUACUACUGGUAAGUGGCAAGUAAUAAUGACUUGUCAUAUAUGGCAGUUUGGAAUUCCAGCUUGAAGAUAAGAUAUGAUAACCAAGCAAAAUAGGAAAUUGGACAGAGUCGAGCCAUACAUCUGGCUUAGUUCAUAUUUUAGUAUCCUACUGCAUUCUUUUAUGUUUAUGUAUUGAUUAGCCUGAAAAAUGCAUGCAUAUCUAAUAAUGUUGUUAUUCUUGUCCUUCCUAACGUGUGUCUUGGCUCAGUUUAAGUAGCAAGUAUUUUAGAGGAGGGGAAGCAUCAUCCUCCCUCUUUAAUUAGUUGCCCUUAUAGGAGGUGUAAGGGGGAAGCUUCUCGCUCUUUCCCAAUCAAAUCUUGGGACCUGCGAGGAGGAGCCUUUGUGGUGGUGAAUGAGAAAUUGGACACAGCGUUGUUGUUGCUUGUGUUGGAAGUGGCUGUCAAUUGUGUAUCAUAUCAUAUCGUAUCCUUGGUUUAGGUUUGGAUACGACCCCUGUCGUGGAGGGCCAGGGAAUCAUGUGGAAAAUCCAUAUGCUUUUUCUUUAUCAGGG